GGCCGCGAAUUCGCCCUUCGGAGAGGGCGCCUGAGAUGGAUUCUGAGACACUAAUCCAGGCCCUACGGGGCGCAGCAGGCGCGAACACUUCGCAAUGGGGGAAACCCCGACGAGGGAACUCCAAGUGCCAGCACUUUGUGUUGGCUGUUUAUAUUCCUAAAAAGAAUGUAGAGUAAGGGCUGGGUAAGACGGGUGCCAGCCGCCGCGGUAAUACCCGCAGCCCGAGUGGUGGUCACUUUUAUUGGGCCUAAAACGUUCGUAGCCGGUUUGGUAAAUCUUUGGGUAAAUCGGGUGGCUUAACCAUUCGAAUUCCAAAGAGACUGCCAGACUAGGGACUGGGUGAGGUCAGAGGUACUUUUGGGGUAGGGGUGAAAUCCUUUAAUCCUAAAAGGACCACCAGUGGCGAAGGCGUCAGACUAACACAGCUCCGACGGUGAGGAACGAAACCCUGGGGCGCAAACGGGAUUAGAUACCCCGGUAGUCCAGGGCGUAAACGCUGUGGGCUUGGUGUUGGAUGUCCUAUGGGGGCAUUCAGUGCCGGAGAGAAGUUGUUAAGCCUACUGCCUGGGGAAUACGGUCGCAAGGCUGAAACUUAAAGGAAUUGGCGGGGGAGCACAGCAACGGGUGGAGCGUGCGGUUUAAUUGGAUUCAACGCCGGAAAACUCACCGGAGGUGACUGCCACAUGAGAGUCAGGCUAAAGACUUUACUCGAUUAAUAGGUAGAGAGGUGGUGCAUGGCCGUCGUCAGUUCGUACUGUAAAGCGUUCUGUUAAGUCAGAUAACGAACGAGACCCCUGCUGCUAGUUGCUACUCAUCUCCCCGGAGAUGAAGCACACUAUCGGGACCGCUGUCG
rnacentral:rRNA from 1 species